rnacentral:rRNA from 1 species
CCUACGGGGGGCUGCAGUGGGGAAUCUUCCGCAAUGGGCGAAAGCCUGACGGAGCAACGCCGCGUGAUCGAAUGAAGGCCUUCGGGUUGUAAACAUCUGUUGACAAGGACGAAUAAGCCAUGCGUAUAGUUUGGUGUAUGACGGUACUUGUUUAGAAAGCUCCGGCUAACUACGUGCCAGCAGCCGCGGUAAUACGUAGGGAGCAAGCGUUGUCCGGAAUUACUGGGCGUAAAGGGCGCGUAGGUGGGUGCUUAAGUCAGGUGUGAAAACUCUGGGCCCAACCGGGAGACUGCAAUUGAAACUGGGUAUCUUGAGGGCAGGAGAGGAAAGUGGAAUUCCUGGUGUAGCGGUGAAAUGCGUAGAUAUUAGGAGGAACACCAGUGGCGAAGGCGACUUUCUGGACUGUACCUGACGCUGAGGCGCGAAAGCGUGGGUAGCGAACGGGAUUAGAUACCCGAGUAGUC